rnacentral:rRNA from 1 species
GACGAACCGAGCGAACGUUGUUCGGAAUCACUGGGCUUAAAGGGCGCGUAGGCGGGCUGUCAAGUCUGGGGUGAAAUCCCGCGGCUCAACCGUGGAACUGCCUCAGAUACUGACGGCCUCGAGGGAGAUAGGGGCGAGCGGAACUAAUGGUGGAGCGGUGAAAUGCGUUGAUAUCAUUAGGAACUCCGGUGGCGAAGGCGGCUCGCUGGAUCUCUUCUGACGCUGAGGCGCGAAGGCCAGGGGAGCAAACGGG